rnacentral:lncRNA from 1 species
AUCAUCACUCCUAUCCCUGAGAUUUCCUUUCUUUAUCCUGCUUUCCUUGUUGGCCUGCAACCUCCACACAAAGAAAGAGAGGGAAAAUUAUUUUCCUUUCUGAUGGAUUUUUUUUCUAAAAGUGACAAGACUCUUCAAGAGAGCUGAGGCUUUGGGUUCUUUGGCAGAUAAAUCGAAGGGGAGGAAAGAGACAGGAGGGAAGCAAAUGUCCUGGAGAAGCCCCCCUGCACCAUGACACCAGAGCAGGGGCAGCCAGGGCAUGGAGGGGCCUGGCUGCAGGCCACAGGUGGUCUCCCAGAGCCUCAGAGGGGAAGCAACCAAGGCUUUUGUGUCAAGGAGAAGCACCCACCACCUGUGCAGCACCUGGGAUCAAGAAGACACAGAGAGACCUAUUUGGAUCCGGUAACUGACGAGUGGAAGGGCCACAGAUACAGGUAGAGAAGAGUAGGUAUCAAUGUCCUGGGGCUGAUGAGCACUGCACAUCUAGGUCACAGUCACCCAGUGCCUCCUACCCCUAAAGCAGCCUCCUCCUACUGAACACCCAGAAAGAAGAGAAGAGAAGAGGAAUGGGGGAAAAAAAAUCCCUGACUCAGUUUUUACCCAAAGGGCAUGGAGAAAAAUCUGGUAGUGACUGAAUGUAAACAAGGGUUUAGAAGCUAUGUUAAGUUCAAUCACAGAGGGAGCUCCUGUCGUGGCUCAGUGGUAACAAACCCAACUAGUAUCCAUGAGGAUGCAGGUUCGAUCCCUGGCCUCGCUCAGUGUGUUAAGGUUUCGGCAUUGCUGUGAGCUGUGGUGCAGGUUGCAGACAAGGCUCAGAUCUGGCUUUGCUGUGGUGUAGGCCAGCAGCUGCAGCUCCAAUUCGACACCUAGCCUGGGAACCUCCAUAUGCCGAGGGUACAGCCCUAAAAAAACAAACAAAAAAAAAGUUUGAUCACAGAAAAGUAAAGUAAGUUGUUUGUUUGCAUAAGUCUGCAACACAUACACCUUCCUCCCCUCCUGGGGUUACUCUAGCUUUGGCACAUGCCAGGUUCUGGGUGGGGUAGAGAUGGGGGAUAGAGAACCAUUCUUGGUUCCACUCAGCUCUAUCUCUUGAAGGAGUCCAGGCCUUCUGAACAUGAUGUGGUCAUAUCUUGGAACUGAUUGGCAAGAAACACAGGACCGCAAAUGUCAUAUUGGCCUUGACAAGUGAUGACUAUAGGCGGGUCAUCUGGAAGGUCCAGGACUCUUAAUUCUGGGAAAUGUUCUGCUUUUCCAAGAAGAAAAAAAAUGCUGAAGCAAAUGAAAAUGAAGUAAAACACAACCAAAGGAAUCAACAUGUUUCCAUCCACCUUCACUGCUUUAGCUUCUGGGUUGCUUUUUUUGUUUUGUUUUUGUUUUUUGUUUUUUGUUUGAUUGUUCAUUUGUUUUUUUGUUGUUGUUUUUUUUUGUUUGUUUGUUUGUUUUUUGGAAGCUCAGACCCAGAGAAUGUUGAGAGCCCACUAAGGGAGUUUUCCUAAAGGAUCAGCAUUCUUGGGUCAUCAGGGCUGGCCCCAGAUCCCCCAGUGGUCAUUGGAGGGCCCCUCCUGUGCCCUCCAGCUUCACGUUAUUCUAGAAACAUCUCCUCUGGUUAAGGAUGAGUGGAUAGACUGCCUUCACCCUGCUUCUUGCUUUUGCAGCAUCUUUUAUGGGACUCCACAAGGCUGGAGCUGAUGAUCCACAUUCUUCCAGGGUGUUUGCUGCUUGGUGCCCUCCACUUCCAAGGACAGACACACUGCCUAUUGUGAACUGGAGGUAGGGGUCUUAACACAGGACCUGAGCAGCCUCAGUGUGCUCCAGGGAGCCUCUCACGUGGCACCAGCCUUCCAAUGUGGUGGGUAACUUGCUGCGUGUUUUCUCACCCCUGUGCCUUCAGCUACAUCGUCUCCUCUGCCUAGAGUGCCUGUCACCCCUACCCCAGUCCCUGCCUCCCCCAGUAGGAUGUCCUGAGCCCUCCUGACCACCAGGCUCUGUGGCAUGGAGACGCCUGAGCACAGGAAGCGUUAAUGGUGAACUCUGAGAAACAGCAUGAGCUGAAGAUCCAUCUGUUUAUUGAACACAGGGCUGUGAGUCAGGGAGUGGCUUGGGCACAGACCAGGCAUGUGAACUUGAUGGAUCUUCCAACUUCUUUUGGCCUCUUCUACUUCUCCCAGGAGCUGCUGGGUCUGGAUGGUUAAGUCCCAUCUACCAGUUAGAUUGCCACUGUGGUCCUGGACUUGCUUCCACUCAUGUGGCUGGCCAUGUACAAUUUUCCAUAGGGCUGCCAGAGUGCCCUCACAACACGGCAGCUGGCUUCCCCCAGGGUGAAUGACCAAGAGAGAUGGACAGGAGACACCACAUCUUUAUAACCUGGAUUCGGAAAUGACUGGGCCUUAUUCUGUCAGCCACACCCACCAACCCAACACGUGGCAGGAGGUACCGCACAAGAGAGUGAAUCUUCUGAGGUGGGGACCACUGACUGCCGUCUUGGAGGCUGGCUGUCACAGAGUGCCAGUCUAAUUUUAAUCAGGCUCACCUGAAUUAUCAAGAAGUAAGGAUGUCUUAGGAGUGCCUUCCCUUGGGUUCUACAUCCUGCCUGCUUUGUUGCUGGGAAUGGAUGGGCCCUAUGGAGCUGGAUGCUAGAGAAAAUUCUCACAUAAGGUGGAACAAUGCUGGGUGCAGAGGUCACAGAGGAACAGGAGCCUAAGGGCUUGGAAUGUCUAAUGACACAUCCAAUGUAGCAGGACUUAAGUGUGAGGCUGAGCAAAGGAGGAUAUGACCUUUUUGAAGGAGGCAGUAAGUCCUUCCUAGUUGCCAUUAAAAUAAGUGUGUGAAGACUAAUACCUUGAAUAAUACUAGUGUGCUUUCGUUUUUCACUCCUUCUUUGUGACUUUCCCUUACUUAGCCCUAGUUUCCAUCAUUUUUGUGAGUGGUAGCUGGGAUGAGGGAAAGAGGAGAAACUGAAAUGAAGAGAGGAUGGAGAUUUAGCUUCAGAUGUGCAAACCAGCUCUGAAACAACAGGUUUGAAAGCCAAGUUUUCACCAGUGAGAUUGGGCCAUUGAGAGAAGGUUUUCCUAAAUCCAGGUAGGUUUCUUUUAAAUAUAACAAUGUUGGCGAAUGAACACGGAGUUUUUACUACACAUCUCAGAAUAGGGAAGAAUGGGCAGCAUGCCCCACAAGGAGCUCUCAACCCCCCAGGAAAGGGAAUAGCCCUUCCUGGGCUGGGAUGGUUAUAGAUAUCUUCAGCCAACAAGACCAGAUGAGGAUACUACACUCAAGGUGCAGGGUGAGAUUUCAGAAAUAGCAGAUGAUCCAAGGAAAGAUCCACGAGCUUAUGCUCCACUUUUGGCUUGAAAUUCCAGGCAGAAUUGCAGGGUGACCUAGACCCACAUGGGUGGCUUGCAGUCGGAGGGACAUGCUGGUAUGGCACGUUUAGCUGGAGAGGGAGCCUGAGAUCGCGUAGACAAGGUUCCCUGGGACUGGUGUAUGGCCUGCAUGAGAUCCAGAAUGUUCUGUGUAGGCUGGGAGUGGUGAACAGUGGUGCUAAGAAUGUGGGGGGAGAGGAAGGCGAUAGCCUGGUAGGAGACAGGACACACAGCCAGAGGCCAUGACAGGGUCCUGGUCAGUUGCAGCCCAGGGCCAGUGACAGAACUGGCCUCCAGAGAUCAAAGCUGACCCCCUAUGCCUCCCAAACUGUCCAGCUUGAGCCUUGAAGAAGGGAAUGGACAAAGAGGGCUUACUCUGCUGCCAUGAGGGAUGGAAACAACUUCCUGACCAUUCUUUGUGGGGACAGAAAGACUUUUGAGAAGACAGGAACCUGAGAGGGACUUCCUUUCCUUUUUUAUGGCGGAAUCUGCAGCACUUGGAAGUUCAUCCUCCAGGGAUUGAACCUGAGCCACAUCUGCAACCUACACCAGAUCCUUUUAACCCACUGCACCUAGCCAGGGAUCAAAUCAAUCUUCCGCAGUGACUCAAGCCACUGCAGUCAAAUUCUUAACCCACUGCGCCAUAGUGGGGACUCCAGGAGGGACUUUCAACUUAGUAAAAUCCUAAAUUGCCUGAAUAAUUACACAAAAGAGAUGAAGUCUCCAAAUGGGAGUUUACUUUGAAGCAGUAAGAUUAGUUUCUUUUAUUUGUUCAUUGUUUUGUUUUCUGCUUUCAGUAGAAUUAGAGCCUCGGGAGGCAGCUGAGUUUGAUUAGGUGGAAUUUAGCAUUUCUGCCAUUGGGAUCACAUGGGUGCAUUUUAAACUCAGGAAACCAUCAAAAGGAUGUGAUUUGAGGUGGGAGGGAGAACAAAGGUAGCACAAUGAGGAGCCACUGUUGUACUUUUUAAAAUCAUCCUUUGAAGGGUCUAGAAUAUAUCAAGAAUGCCUACAAAUCAGCAGCAACAACAAAAAUAUGAACAACUCUGGCUUUCUAGGUGGACAAUGAGUUCAACAGGCAUCUCAUAACAAAGAUACAGGAAUGGCCAAUAAGCCCAAGAAAAAGUGCUCAACAGUAUUAAUCAUUAGGAAAUGCAAAUGAAACAACAAUGAGCUGCCACGUCACACCCACCAGACUGAAUCAAGUCAAAUACAAUGGACGCUGGACCAACUGAAGCCAGUCCAAUGCAUGGAGGAUGUGCAGCACCAAGCAAACACCCCCACCCCGACCCAGCAGGCCCAUGCCUUGUGCCAACCCCAAGGAAAUGAAAACCUCUGUCCACACAGAGGCUCGAAUCUGAAUGCUUACAGUAGUCAUAUUCCUAAGAAUCAACCAAACAGAUAAAUAAAACACAGCAUAUCCAUUUAAUGGACUGUUACUCAGCAAUUAAAAAGGACCACUUAACAGUUAAACCCACAGCACAGAUGAAUCUCCAAAAACUGAUGCUGAGUGAGAGGAGUCAGACAUAGAAGAGAAUCUACCAUUCAACUCCACGUACAUGAAUUUCUAGAACAGGCAAAACUAAUCUUUGUGGAGAGAAGUCUAAAACUGGUCAGGGGUAGAAGGGUGCUUCCUGCGUGAUAGAAUGUUCUGUAUUUUGUUUGUGACAACCAUGGUGAUUGUUGCGUGGAUAUAAAUGAUUGGACCUCAU